GCCUUUUUCCUCUCUUGCUGCAGAGCUGGGUCAACAGGAAGCUCUAAAGCAGGGGAUGAGGCCAUGGACGUCCCUGAAAAUGUGCCUCCUCUCUCUGCAGAGAUCAGGAUCAUCCUGGUCUCAGCUCAGCACCUGGAGUGAAGAGUACUCCCAGCAGAGCCAGAGCGGUGAGCCCACCCCGUUGCCCACUUCUGCGUGUCCACCCAGACUUAAGCUGAUGGAAUAUUAUUCAGCACUGAAAAAGAAAUAAGCUAUCAAGCCAUGAACAGACCUGGAGGAAACUUAAAUGAAUACUGCUUAGUGAAAGAAGCCAAUCUGAAAAGGCUACAUACCGUGUGAUUCCAACUAUAUGACAUUCUGGAAAAGGCCACACUAUGGAGACGAAUGGACCACAGCAAGAGUGAACCCUAAUGUGAACUCUGGACUUUGGAUGAUAAUGAUGUGUCAAUGCAGGUUCACCCUUGGUAACAAAUGUACCAGCUGGAUCACUGGCUGACACGUUGGGAAAAGACUGCGUGAAAGGCAAGAUUAAAAGCAGGGAUUCUGGUUAGAAAGCUUUUGUGAUAAAAGAGCAACAGACGAUGAUAGAUGAGGCCAGAACGGAAGUGGUAAAGAUGGUGAGAGAUGGUCAGAUUUGGGACAAAUUUUAAAUUUAAAACUGAUAAAAUUUCUCAAAGUUCUGCUUCUACUUAGGAUGCAAAAAAACCACAAGAAUACAUUGCUCCCAUACUAACAAUGAGAAAAAUCUGGAUAAUCUAUAAAAUCGUCAUUUUUCUUAAGUCCAUCAGAGAACUGACGUCUCAAGGCAACCAAAGAAAUGGAAUUCAAGAAAGUAACAACAUUCUCCUAGCCACAGAAAUGCGAAAUGAGAUACACAGACUGUUUGACUUUUGGCAAGACACAGGAAGAAGAGAUGGCUGCCAUAGAAGGAACAAGAAACAAGCUGACAUUUUAGCAAAUUCCUAAAGACUUAGCGUGGGCUGGUGUACCAGUGUGGUGUAACUCCCCUUGUAGACGCCCGGGGAGUUCUCACGCUCCAGCUCUUCUCCACCGGCCUUUAACAGGUGUUCACAAAGACUGAGGGCAGGGCAGGAGACCAGAGAGAGCGUCCCUCAGUAGCCCAGGUGUGUAGGAAAUGAUUUGAUGACACUGGAGAACAGGAAAAAAAAUGAUUGCGUGCUUCCCCCAACCUUUCUGUGAUACAAAGCAAAAGUGUUACGCCACUGGGGCAAAUGCAGCAAAAACAUGUCGCCUCCAGAGCUAAUCGGGGAGGGGUAGAUGGAAAACCCAUCUGCCUUGGGUGAGGGUAUAAAAGCUUCCUUCCUGGCCCCUAGGAACCAGGUAAAGACCCACUGCUUCUGGGGAAGGAUAGAAACAGAAGCCGUGCGCCUUAGAGGAGGGGCAAGAAAAUCUCUUGGCCCAGGAUCUUGCACCAGCACAAAGCAGAGGUGUGCUACUGAUGGGAAGGGACGGGAAAAUGGCUCCUGCCAGCAGUUCACACCAAUGGGAGACAGAGUUUACUGCCCUGCGGGGCAGGAGGAGGAAGGGGAAGAGGAGGAGAAAGGAGGAGCAGGAAUGCUGAGAGAUCCUGCCUGCAAGGCCAAGUGCACAGUCCUUGCCUAAGACCGAGGCUGGACCAGGAGAAUUGAGAAUCUGCUCCUGCUCCCCAGGAGCCUAGCACCAAGUAGCAAGCACCGGUGGUCUACCAUGGAAGAGGGGAAAUAACAGCAAAAAGACCCCCUCUGUGGUGCCAGCUUGCCGGGACUGCUGAAAUCUGACGGUGGAGCAGAAAUACGGAAAAACUACUCCAGGACCCAAGGCCUCCGACUAAGCUACAGGCGAAGAGAGCGCACCACCAGAGCAAUUUGAAGCCUGUGGUGCGCUGCAGCUCAUGACAGCAACAAUAAAACCCAAACUUAGCUUGGCUACCGAGGAGAUCGAAUCAGUUCCCCCACACGAAUGGCCUGACAGAAGAGGCACACCCAUUUCCAGAAGUCAACAUCGUUUACCUCAUCUCUACUGUUCUUCAAACACGAUGACUGGCGGUCAACGAAAAACGGUGAGAUACCAAACAGCAAGGAAAAAAAAGACCCAAUGUUUCGUUUUUGUUUUCCCCAGUUUUAUCGAGAUAUAAUUGACAUGUGAGGUUGCAUAAGUUUAAGGGGUACAACACAAUGAUUUGAUACAAGUAUAUGCUAUGAAAUGACUACCACAAUAUGUUUAGUUAACAUCCAUCACCUCUCAGACCUUUUUUUCCUGUGAUGAGAACUUUAAGAUCUACUCUGUUAGCAACUUUCAAACAUACAAUACAGUCAUGCAUCGCUUUACAACGCAGACACAUUCUAAGAAAUGCGUCAUUAGGCGAUUUGGUCGUUACGUGAACAUCAUGGCGUGUACUUACACACACCUAGAUGGUGUAGCCUACUACACACCUGGGCUGUAUGGUACUGAUCUUAUGGGACCAGCGUCGUAUAUGCGGGCUGUCAUUGACUGAAAGGUCAUUAUGAGGUGCGUGACCGUACAGUAUUAUUAACUACAGACACCAUGCUGGACAUUAUGUCCCCAGAAUUUAUCAGUCUUAGAACUGGAAGUUUGUACCUUUUGACCAUCUUCCCCCUUCUCUCAUUCCACCCCACCCCCCUACCCUUGCCCCCUGGCCUCUGGCAACUACCAAUCUGUUCUCUGUUUCUAUGAGACCCGUUGUUAAGAAAUAAAGCAAUCACGGAACUAGCUCAGAGAUGCUGGAAUUAUCACAAAGUGUCUUUAAAAUAACUGUGAUUAAUAUAUUAAAGGAACGAGUGGAAAAUUUGCAUGCAUGAGCAGAUGGGGAACUGACCGUUCAGAGGAAAGGAGGAUGGGGACUAGGAGAAUCCUUUGAACAGUUACAGGUCAUUCCUUGCAGCCGGC
rnacentral:lncRNA from 1 species